CUACUGCCAGGCCAGAGAUGAUACUCGGUUGGACUAGGAUGCUGCCAGCAGACCUGGAACGAUACGGCUGGAUUCAAGAAUCAGGCUGGAGGUGGAAACGAGAGAAUCCUGCACAAUAUAAAGUCAAAGUUCACAAGGCGGUGAAAUCCAUGGCCUGCCUGCCUUUAUAAAAUUCAGAUGGAAGUUCCCCAUGUCUGAAUUCUUUGCACCACUGCUGACUCAGCUCCUCAGAAAUCAGUAGCAGAGAGUUGGUAGGUUAAGGACAAUUUUGACUCCAUCCUACAAUCUGGGAAACCAAGGCUUGGAGAGUGAAGACAGUGACUCAGACCACCCAGCAGGAAGUGGCCGAGGCAGAGUCGGAACCUGGACACACUGAUCCCACACCUCUCUGCUUGCAGGGACACGGUGGCCAUCAGGUCCCAGAGCUCCUCUCUGUGGCAUGGGGCUUGGGGACCCACAAGAGACUUAAAAUGCAGCUCUUGGAAUCUUUUACAUCUUUUUGCUUUCUACUAAUCAUCCUUUCAGCUUAAAAAAAUCCCCAAACCCAGCGUGUCCUGCCAACUGAGGUAUGGCAUUUUGGGGACAUUUGUGGUUCUUACUUAUGUGUGUAAAUCCAACUUCCUUUUCCCCUUCUUCUGUUAUUUUUUGUAGAACACUGUUGGCGGUUUGGAGUGGGUUCUUGAGGUCCUUCUCCUGCACACUCGCACACGUAUCUGUGGCUGGAGUAAAGUCCUCUCUCCACAUACGUGGUCUCCUACUCUGCAUGGUUUGCCACCUGUUUUUUUCCUCCAGGACCCUACAUCCUGGAGAACUAUCCCAGCUUACCUAAGAGCUUUGUAGUAUGCACCAUGCCUUAACUCUCACCUUCCUGAUGGAAUUGUGGGCAGUUCCCAGAAAAAUUGAAAAUUACAGCUUGCUUCUGCUUAAAAAAAUACUUAUUUUGCUUUAACAAAUGCUCAGAAAGGGUGCUCAUUUUUUGUUGAGGUUUACUGCCCCUUUUUGCACAGUGUAAAAACAGGGCCACUCACACUUUCCAGCAUGUGGAAUGCAGCCCACUUUGUUUUGGUAAACCCAGUGACUCACAACGUCCCCCCGCCCUGUCUCCUCACAGCUGAGAGAGGCCCUGUCUUGUUGUGCUCAUGGAAGUGACUCAGGAUGUUACACUUGGCUACCUCGGGGCACAAUCGUCUCCACAAUGAGGCCCAGAGGAAGUUAAGCGCUUAUUGGCUCUUCAGUUACUGAUGGUAGCCUGACAGGAUCACACAGCUACCUGUGCAGCCAGGACAUACAGGGGCAUGUGUGUGUGCAUGUGUGGGGUAUGUGUGUGCAUGUGUAAUGUGUGUGCAUGUGUGGGGUAUGUGUAGAGUGUGUUUGUGUGGUAAGUGUGGUACAUAUGUGCAUGUGGUACAUGGGAUGUGUGUGUGUAUGUAUGUAGACACCAGCCCACUGUGAUGUGUAAUGGCAGAAGGUCCAGAGGCAGGAGGCUAACGCAGGAGUGAAACUGUAAAGGGACCCUGCUGUCAGACUCACGCCUUUCCAUCAAUCUUGUAACAAUUAGUCCAAGUUAAAAAUGUUCAAAGAACUUAACGAACAAGUGCAUCCCCUCCUGCAUGGAGUACUCUGCAGGGACGAUGGCCACCACCCGCUUAACCUGCAGAUGCGGAAUCUCUCCGUGUAAAGCUUGGAAACAGUGUCUUGCUAGGAGGUACCAUUAGAGGAAACACUACUGAAUGCAUAGUUUGCGAAUGAGUUUUGGUGAAUAAUUUUACUUAAAUCCAUUACUUGGACGUUUGGCUUCAAAUGCCUGUUGGCUGCACUCCGUUCUGUGAUCAGCGGUAUCUACUCCAUUGAUGUAAGCAGCCCAGUGUUGAUUUUUACCCCCUUAAAUUGGCUCAGAGUUACAACUUUCUCUUCAAUUAGCACUUGAGUUUUCCAUUAGACACUUUCCUUCCCCCCCGGUGUCCAGAGAGGUCCAGAUCCUUUCCAUUAGUAUUUAGCGACGGAAACCAGGGCUGCGUCUGUGAACAGCAGCAGGGCGGUGCACCCCAGAGCCUCCUGUAGUCCUAACUCUGAGAGGAGUUACAUGCCAGAGUGACCGAUCUUUCAGGAAAAACUAUUGAGAACUGUACUUUGGGGAUUAUAGUCACACAAUUUUAAAACUUUCCUCCCUUCCUUCCUAACUUUGGAAUACUGUUUAUUUUCCCUAAGUGUUUAAGUAUUUAAAUUUUAUGUAUCGCUGCUUUUUCCUUUGUUUAAAAACAAUCAUUUUCAUAUUACAUAACCACCUCAUUGUUUUAAAAAAUUGUAGAACAUGUAAUAUAAAGUGAAAACCCCUGUAUCUAUGUUUAC